UACUACCGUAAUAGAUAAUUAUCGAAUAUCGAAUGAAAAUAAUACUUGAAAAGGUACCUACUUAUUUAUAAACAUACGAAAUGGAAAACAUUGACAAAAACAACAAAAAAGCUUUAAUAUAAAAAAUAUUAAAAUUUGUUUGAAGAAUAUUUAAAUGACACAACACUUUACAUAAUUUCAAAACUUUAAAAACCAGAAUCUACAUCUACAAGUUGUUUAACAAAACAAUAUUUUAGGUUAAGAAUUGGAAGGAGUAAGAACAGAAUGUCAAGAAAUUCUUCCCAAAUAUUUUGUGCGCCUGUGCGAACUUAAAAUCCGAAACAAAAUCCUCGAACGUCGAGAGCGUACCCCGGGCAUGUUCAGGAUCUUUUUUCUGUACUGCGCGAAACAAGAAUCUACAGGUCGAGCAAGUCUCGUAAAUUUCACGAUUGCGAGCCACGCUUCACGCAACCGUGUUUGCGUACUUGUGUUUCGAGUUGCGUGGUCGUGCGGAGUUAUAUUUACCAAAUUUAAAUAUAAUCGUUUCUACUGAUUCAUAAUAAUAUAUGUCAAUAUGGCUACUGGGUGUAAAAGAUAAAUGUUAUUCUAUCUGCUCUUAAUGAGUUUUAGAUAAUUUUAGUUGUAUUUCUUUGUAAUUUUGUGUUGUACAAAGAUUAAUUUAACAUUUUCUCUGGAAGUAUUAAUUUAGAAAGAUAAUAUGCUUCAAUGGUGUCGUGUUUUGAAGUGUGAAAUGCAAAGUACCUAAUUGUGAUAAAGUCAAGAUAAAGUUCACUUUUAAACUGAACUAAAUAAGGUAUCUGAGAGACAACAAUGGUUAAAUGCAAUACAAUGUACAGGUUUUACUAGCGAAAUGAAAAUUUUCCUGUCCUGUCUGCUGUAAUCAUUUUAUAUCUGGAAAACCAGCCGACUUAAUCGAUAAUAACAAUCUCCAGAUUGGGUUCCUUCAAUAAAUAUGGGCUAUAAACACAAUGAAAUAAGUUCCCCAAAAUCUAAAAUGGAGUGCUAUCAAAGGAGAAUUAAAGGAAAAAAUAUUCAUAUUGAAAUUAUUUAUAAGGCACUGGACUGUCUUAAAUUCUACAAUAAUACUAGAAUCAGCUGAGAGAAGUGGUCUACAAAAAACCAGGAAGGAAACGGAAUAUGUGGCUACGAAAGGCAAAAGAAAAGUUUACAAAGCAAAUGUGACACAUUUUUUUGAAAUAUUUAGGAAUAUUAGUAAAUUGCAUUAAAAAAAUGUAUGAAAAGAUUUUGUUCAAUAAAAAUGUUUAUAUUUA